UAGAGGCGGCGGAGACAGGAACGGAGCCAAGGCUGCGGAGGCGGGAGGAGGGAGGU
ensembl:misc_RNA